rnacentral:rRNA from 1 species
GACGAACGCUGGCGGCGUGCCUAAUACAUGCAAGUAGAACGCACAGUUUAUACCGUAGCUUGCUACACCAUAGACUGUGAGUUGCGAACGGGUGAGUAACGCGUAGGUAACCUGCCUGGUAGCGGGGGAUAACUAUUGGAAACGAUAGCUAAUACCGCAUAAUAUUAAUUAUUGCAUGAUAAUCGAUUGAAAGAUGCAACUGCAUCACUACCAGAUGGACCUGCGUUGUAUUAGCUAGUAGGUGAGGUAACGGCUCACCUAGGCGACGAUACAUAGCCGACCUGAGAGGGUGAUCGGCCACACUGGGACUGAGACACGGCCCAGACUCCUACGGGAGGCAGCAGUAGGGAAUCUUCGGCAAUGGACGAAAGUCUGACCGAGCAACGCCGCGUGAGUGAAGAAGGUUUUCGGAUCGUAAAGCUCUGUUGUAAGAGAAGAACGGGUGUGAGAGUGGAAAGUUCACACUGUGACGGUAUCUUACCAGAAAGGGACGGCUAACUACGUG